rnacentral:tRNA from 1 species
GCUGGGGUACCCAAGCGGUCAACGGGGGCGGACUGUAAAUCCGCUGGCUUAAGCCUACGGGGGUUCGAAUCCCUCCCCCAGCA